CUCCAGAUAGGCGGGCGCUCGCCUGUCCCAGUGCGGCUCCUCACCGGGCUCCGCACGCCGUCCUCAGCAAAGGCAAACGCCCUGCUAGCAGAGAAGCCAGCAGAGAAGCUCCGCUCCGCAGUAUCCUUGGCGGGGAAAAAGGGGCCGCAGCGGCUGCUUGAGGACGCCGGAAACUGGCCCAAGGGCCGUGCCGGAAGUCCCGCCUCUCCGCACAUGUCUCCGCCCCAUCCGUCCAGGGCUACUUUCCGGUUUCGAAGACCAACUACGGGGUCUAGUACUGCUCCUUCCUCACCGUGUAACAGAACGGAAUGAAAAGUAUGACACCUUUAAAGUACUGGUCUCCAACCUUUUUGGCACCAGGGACCCAGUUUCGUGGAAGACAGUUUUUCCACCGACAGGGUGGCGGGGGACUGGUGCACGCGAUGGGGAGAGGCACAUGAAGCUUCGCUCGUUCGCCCACCGCUCACCUCCUGCUGUGCAGCCCGCUCCCUGACAGGCCAAGGACCAGGACCCCUGCUUUAAAGGAUGAGCCUGGGAGGCAGAGCCUUGAGAAUGGGCUGUAUUUCAGGCUAUGGGCAACAUUCCUUUACAAAGGUGCAGAGUCACCAUAACUAAGAACAGACAACAGAGCACACAGAUUAAAGAUUAAAGGAACAGAUCCAAUAUGGAGUCAGGUUUGUUCUCCCUUACACGUCUCACCCAUUCUCGAGGGCUAUCUCAGAAGUCAUCUCCUUGAUACUUCCCUUGAAACACCCAAUCUCUGAAGUCAUUUCCUGCUUUCCUACUUGAACAGCAUCUGGCACUUAUUGCUGUCUUUUAUUAACCACUACCACUGGCAGCAGUGUCCGUCUUUUCUUGCAUCAGCUAUUCCAAAACUUUACGCUGUCAAGUUUCCUACCCUGACGGACAGCUACCACAGGUCUUGCCUGUUAUCCCUAGGGGAGCAAUAUCUUGGGAUACAUAGUACCACCUCCCUCACUGCUCCCUUCCCACACUCAUGUUGGGAGUCUCCACUUGUCUCCCUUUGAUCCAAAUAAAUUAAACCCCUUGAGUGCAGAGACGGUCAUCCUAUGCACUCUAUAUGAAAAUGACGAAAUGAAAAGCUUUCAGGAGCAGUCUGACAUAAUAGAAUACAGGCUCUAGUUUACACCUAUGGAACCCCUUGACAAAACUGCUGAUCUGCCCUUGACUGGGGACUCAUUUACCAACAUCCCCUCUGCCCGCUGCUGCAGUCAGCCAUGUUGUAAGCUAUAACACUUCCUGGUCCCUGGACUAGGGACCCUUUGCUUUUCCUCCUCACUGGGUCUGGAGGUUGUUUUCGUCUUAUAUUUACUAAGUCUAAGUUUUCUGUUUGAGGGCCUACUUGGUUGAAGGAAACCGAAACUGAUCCUAGUUUCCCCUUCAGAAUUAGGAGCUGUCUUUGACCAGAUUAAAACACCACCCAAGGUGGGUAAUAUUAAGACAUGCAUUUUUCUAAAUGUUUACUCUGGCUGCAAUAUGGAGAACAGAUGGGAGAGAUGCCAAAAUGUGAGUAACUAAAUCUCUGUGUGAGACCAGAUAAGAAUCUAUUGCAGGGCCACAGAGAGAUGCUUAAACUAAAAAGUGUGGAAACAAAGCAAACAAAACAAAUUUAAGAAAUCUUUAGGAGGUAAGAGAAAUUGGUGGUAAAUUAGAUUAAGGGUAAGGGAGAGGAAGGCAUCAAGAUAAUUAUUAGGUUCCAGGUUUGGGCAAUUGGGUAGUAUGGUGUCAUUCACUGUGAUGUGGAAUGAUGGAACAUGACUAAUGGCUUCCUCCUUACCAAAAGACUCAAAUGGCUUUGCCUGCCAAAGGGCAAAAUGAGUAAAGAUGGGAUGGGACCUCAGAAGGAGAACUUUAGAAAGAAAAAGAUGGGUUAAAGAACCCAGAGGAUAAAUAAAUAAAUAAGUAAAUAAAUAAAUAAAAGAACCCAGAGGAGGAGCGGAGGUGUAAAGAAAACAGUAUCAGAACUAAAACAAAAAGAGUAGAAUUCCAUAACUUACCUUGAUCAUUAGUAUCGGUGGACACUGCCCACUGUGUGUCCCAGGUCCUUGCACAGAUGUUUUCACUAUAUCUGACAUCUAAUGACCAAUCAGGGGCCAAGGAAAAUUUUAGCAAAAAAGAUUUCCAUUUUGGUUGGUAUCAAAAUUUUAUUAUUGGUAAUAACUUUGAAGCUGUCAGUAAGAAAGUAAUUUAUUUCACCAAAAACAUUUUACUUCAGAAGAACAUCUCUUUGAUCUAGGAUCAAAGGUCAGUGACCUGGAAAUUAUAUAUAUAUAUAUAUAUAUAUAUAUAUAUAUGUAUAAUCUGGAGCAGACUUCUGUUCUAAAACAGUCAUUGACUAAUUUUACAGAGGAAGGAACCAAAAACAACUGAGGUCUUAAGAAGUUUAUUUAAGUCAUAUGAUAAAAGGUUCUGGCUAGCAUACUAGCAAUAUCCUGCCUCCUAUUUUACUCAGAUGUAUUGCUUUGUCUCAGGUCAUUUCAUGAGUACACACACAUAUACACACAAGUGAUUGCAAAUAUCUAUAGAGCACAGAUCACCGUGCCUACUCUACCUAAAGCAAGGAUUUUUUUAAAAAAAGAUACUUCAUAACCAUGUUUUUGAAAGCUUAGGGUUUCGUGGAAGUGCCUUAGGAAGCUUGUUAAGAGUGAGGUGGAGGCUGAACAGUGGGCCUAUGGGUCCCAUUCCCGCUUCAACUGAUAUAUGGACCUGCUCCCAUCUAUUUUAGGUAUCGGAUGAUUACACUUCUAUGUUACUAUUCUUUUGAAAAUCCAGUUCUGUUAACAAUCAAAGUUUGAAAACCACUGUACUUGAUUAAGGACUAGGGUAUGAAUUUGAGUAUGUACACACUACAGCCAAGAGCCUUCACCACAGGUCAUAGGCAUAUAGACACAGGGCAGGGUCAGAAUACACAGGACCAUUAACACCACAGAUAUUUGGAGUCCAGAAUAAUCACAAAUUGUUAAUCCUGAUAAUGGCUAAGGGGAAAGAUGUUGGCAGGCAGGCAGGCACUUAAGUUACUAUCUACUAAAACAAGAUGCUAUCGUUACUGAAUUGCAACUUCUCUGGAUAAACCAGGGUUAACCUGUGAAAGCUUAGAGACCUGUCUUCAGGCACAGUAAAGUUGGAACUGUGUAAGAGUCCUUUAGAGAUGAAAUAUUUUGAUGUCCAUGCUGCACUUUCCUCAGAACCACUUUGCUACAGAAAACUCUGUUCCUGCCCUAAUAUGACUGCUCUCAAUUGGAGUGUGAACUUGGACAGUAUUCCGACAAUUAAUGAAUAUAAAGGUGUGUUGUAAUGUCUUAAUGAAAAUGGUAUCAGGCCAAGGUCUCUCUUUUCUUUCUUUUUAAAAUUCUAUAUGGCUCACUGCCUGUGGAGAAACAGGAGUGCCCUCAACUAACUCCUACUUUUCAAUCUGUUCAGCAGCUUAAACUUGAACUUGUGCAUCAGAUCCUUCUAAGGCCAAAAGAACAUUGCCUUUAAGUGCCAAAUACAUUAGUUACUCCCAUGAGCCAAGUAAUCAACUUAGGAUCCCUGGUACAUUUCUUUGGUUCAGCUGCAAGGCCCCCCUGCUCAGAGAUCUUCCGCUCUUCCAUCUCCAGCUCAGGCGUGGCCAAUAGGAAUCCAAUACCUGCUCCAAAGUUUUAGAAGUAACUUAAGUCAUAGAAUCAAAAUUGCUCGCGAGUCUUCCUGAUAUAUGUCAGCAAUUCUGUUAAUUCAUUGAAGAAAAAAAAAAAGGAAUGUGAAUGUUUACUUUCAUUAAAUCUGUGCUCAGUGAUUUUACAGCAAAGAACAUAUAUGUGUUGCACACGAAAUGAAAUUAAUUAACAGACAGGUUAUAUACUGAAGUACAAAAACAAGUGUUUGACUUGGAAAUUGAACUUUAUUUACAAAUGUUCUCCUAUAGACAAAGAUUCCAUUCCACCCCCUUUAAAAUAUUAUAACUAAUACUUCCCAGAAAAAUCAUUUACAUUGUUUUAAUCUUUCUGCAUAAAACAGUAUUAUGGGAUAAGCAAAUAUGGGAUGGUCUAAGACAUAAAAAAACAAAAGACAAUUUAUCCACCAUGAAUGCUCUACUGACUGACAGAAUGAAGAAUUACAAAUCACACCCCUUAAUGUGCUACUCCGAGAAACGGAAACGUGCUGAUUUGGGGAGGUAAAUGCUUCACAAUAAAGUCUUCUUCCGUAGUAUGGUUUAAUGGUGAUUGUUUAGGAUUGCUCCUGCAGCCUGCUAUUUAUGCUGAUUUUAAAAAAUAAGUCAUCAUUGUUAAAAAGGGCAUAGACUUUUCUAUACAGAUUUUUUUUUUA